UGACGGAAAAAUUGGGGAAUUAACGGCACUUAAAGGUAGCAAUAGAUCUCAUACCGUAAACGUUGAGUGCAAACGGGCUCUCCAAGGUCGAUCAUAACUCCCAGUAUUCGUUAAAAAAAAUGCCAAAAGAAUCUUUCCCUGCUUGUGUAUGGUCAAUGAAACUGUUGAUUUGAAACUGUUCGGGGCAUGGCUCCAUAAUUUCAUUUUAGUUUAAAAUUUUGUAUAUUCUGGUAUGUUAGCGCACGUUCUAUCUUAUAUGAAA